rnacentral:rRNA from 1 species
UACGUAGGGUGCAAGCGUUGUCCGGAAUUAUUGGGCGUAAAGAGCUCGUAGGCGGUUUGUCGCGUCUGCUGUGAAAACCCGAGGCUCAACCUCGGGCCUGCAGUGGGUACGGGCAGACUAGAGUGCGGUAGGGGAGAUUGGAAUUCCUGGUGUAGCGGUGGAAUGCGCAGAUAUCAGGAGGAACACCGAUGGCGAAGGCAGACCCCUGGGCCGUCACUGACGCUGAGGAGCGAAAGCGUGGGGAGCGAACAGG